GAAUUGACGGGGGCCCGCACAAGCGGUGGAGCAUGUGGUUUAAUUCGACGCAACGCGCAGAACCUUACCAACCCUUGACAUCCCGGUCGCGAUUUCCAGAGAUGGAUUUCUUCAGUUCGGCUGGACCGGAGACAGGUGUUGCAUGGCUGUCGUCAGCUCGUGUCGUGAGAUGUUGGGUUAAGUCCCGCAACGAGCGCAACCCUCGCCUUUAGUUGCCAUCAUUUAGUUGGGCACUCUAGAGGGACUGCCGGUGAUAAGCCGGAGGAAGGUGGGGAUGACGUCAAGUCCUCAUGGCCCUUACGGGUUGGGCUACACACGUGCUACAAUGGCGGCGACAAUGGGCAGCGAAGGGGUGACCCGGUGCAAAUCCCAAAAAGCCGUCUCAGUUCGGAUUGUACUCUGCAACUCGAGUGCAUGAAGGUGGAAUCGCUAGUAAUCGCGUAACAGCAUGACGCGGUGAAUACGUUCCCGGGCCUUGUACACACCGCCCGUCACACCAUGGGAGUUGGUUUUACCCGAAGCUGGUGCGCUAACCGCAAGGAGGCAGCCAACCACGGUAAGGUCAGCGACUGGGGUGAAGUCGUAACAAGGUAGCCCUAGGGGAACCUGGGGCUGGAUCACCUCCUUUAUG
rnacentral:rRNA from 1 species